ensembl:miRNA
AUCUCCUGGGGAUUUUGAAAGUGCAGAUUCUGCUUCAGUAGGUCUGGGGUAAGGCCUAAGAUUCUGCAUUUCUAACAAGCUCCCAUGUGAUGCCAAU